CCCUGUUGUUGCAUCCCAUCAUAAAGUGAACUGUUUCUGUAGAGAAGCUGAAUUUUCAGUGGAGACUUUGGAAUGAAAGGCUGACUGCCACUGUGUCUGUGCUGCAGGGAGAAGUGGUGUCACAUGACCCAGGAGGAGAGGGAUGACAGCUCCAAGAUGGACGAGAACAUCGCCUUCGGCCAGCUGGGGACAUUCACUCAUAACAUGCUGGCGUUUGGGCUCAGUAAGAAGCUUUGCAAUGACUUCCUGAAGAAGCAGGCGGUCAUUGGGAGCCUGAAUGAAGAACAGUACAAGUUGCUGAGUGACCACAUAGAGAAAAUGGCAUCAGAGUAAGUUUGAGGAUGCGACUCGAAGUCUCCACAGGACAGAUUAACAACAUGAGAAGUUUAUCCGCAACCCACAGACCAACUCUCCGUCUGACUGUUGAUGCAUCUGUGUGCUACACUGCUGAAUAUCAUAUUAACCUACAAUACUGAAGUGUUCCCCAGCAGAGCCCUGCUCCUCUGCACCCGGCCAUGUAUCAGCAAUAAUACAACAUCAUCAGCUAGUGCAAAAUGUAAUACACUUUCAAACUUCCUAAUGUGAUGUAAUUGGAAAAGAACUUGGAGCAUAAAGUGAAACCGUCUCGAAUAAUACCCAAACAGCCUCAGCAUGGUGUCAGAAUCUUGUUCGCAUGAUGUGUGAGCUAUAUAUACUCUAUGCCUUUGUCUCCUGGGUACACACACUAAUUACUUGUUGGUUCUAACAGCAUCUGGUGAGCCAUGGCACUGAGUAUCGUCCUGCCUGGUUACAUUGGACAACAGACAGCUCAAACCAGACUUGGGUAGAAUAGUAAAGUCAUUUCAGUUUAUUACUGAAUACUCAUCUGUGCUUUGUGCAACACUGUAGAAUCCUUUAUGGCAAUACAAACAAUAAAAUACCGCUUUACCAUAAUAUGUAACAUGUACCAUAUAACCUUAUCACUGGCACCACAACAAUUCCCUGUAUGCCCUGUAGUCUCUUCAUUGGUUUAGUUCGACACCUUGAGAAGCACACUCAAUAAGGCCGGACUUAGCUUAGCAUAAAGCCUGGAAACAGAGAGAAAUGGCUAGACUGGCUGCCUUUUAGAAAGGAAUAACAUUUUCCUACCGGACCAUCCUUGGUAGUAAUGCUUAGUUAAGAGUGUUAUUAGAAAAGAAGAGCAGCAGUCUUCCUACUGACGAGAGGAAUCUAAUACCACUCUCUUUUUACUUUGGCACACAUGUACAUUCUAGUGGAAAUUAUUUUUUGUUUUCCUUAAUUAAUAACUUCAUUAUACCCUUGAAGCCAUUUGAGAACACUUACCUUUCCAAAUUAAUUAAAUGAAAGUAAAUGUCUUUCAUUCAGAUGCUCUGUUAACCAACCAAACACUAAUGCAGAGCCUAUACUGUUCCUCUGUUACACAUUUCCUGCGAGAUAAAAUAAACAACAACUUCUGCAUGCAAAUACAAUUCAUCCCUGUGUUUGGAGAUGGUUAUACAGUAAGUAGUUUAUCUUCAUUUGGUUGAGCUUCAAUGCCAGAUGUUGCCUGAACCACCAUACACAUUUUCUCCUGCUGCAUUUAUAUCUUUGCAUGUAGCUAGCAUGUUCAAACGGCAUCAAGCAAGUGUCAAAAGUGCAAAUAAUCUGUGAAGCGACAUUUCCUGUUCAUCCUACCACUGCAGGGUAGCCUCGUGUAAUGAUGAAAGCUAUCUGCGUUGAAUUCCCGGAUAAUGCACUUUCUGACAGUUUGAAUCCCAUUUCAGUUGGAUAAUCUGUUUUAAUCUAUUGUGUCGAUAGAUUGAGAUGAUAGAUCCUCAUUUGUAAUUACUGCACAUAUUCUCCAUAGGUUAAACAAUUGAUCAUGUAUUUCUGUUUGUAAAUUGUAUUUUUUUUUAUGGAAAAUGUUUGAUCAAUAGAUGUUAUUGAUCAUUGUGUCCAUGAGGAACAUCUACCUGCAGUUCUGACCCUGUAGUUCCACUCAUACAUCCAAGCCCUGUGUUACGUGCUCUUUUAAAGAUUUGCAUAUAGUGUUGUGCAAUAGUCUCUGAUGUUGAUGUAAUUCAUUCCUUUACAGCUUAGUGACAUGUUUUCACCCAUGUGCAUAAUCAUACAAAUCAUAUAGAAAGCCUUGCAGACCUGUUUUCCCCCUUUAUUGACUCUUCCAAUUCUCUCAGGGGUCCCGUUGCACGUUGUCUAAUAAUAUUGAGCUGUAUGUUGUACUUGUUGGCACAGCAUGAGCCAUUUGCACUACAUGUAUCUUCUGAAUAUAAUGAACUAUGUUAUAUUGAUGCCUUUUAUAUUUGUUUAGCAUGGCAAGUUCAUGCUCUAUCUGUUGUUAAAUGUUGAUGGUAGUUUGUCUUUUGUAGCAAGGUAAUAACAAAUGUUUUACUGUAUUGCCUUUAUGUCAAUUAUCAACAAGGUGAAAUGUGUAAUUAAACUUACAUGAAGUUGUUAUGGGA